UUUAAUUUCCAUUAUUCCACAUGGUAUACAUUCUGAAAACAUCUUUGACAAAAUUUAUGAUCUAGGAAGCCUCUCAAUAGCUUUUGGCAUUUGAUUCAACAGGUAAUGCACUGUUUCCUCCCUAGAUUUCUCUGUUUCGUCUACUAUAUCCACCAGCCAAAAAGCACAAAAGCAGUUCCACUGAACACACACACACUCACACACACACCCCCACAACUGACCACCCCACCUCCAUUUCAGCUCAGCUCAGCUCAGUUCCGGGUGUCCAAAUCAAUCAGUUUUCCAACCCAUCCUUCUGAAAGCCAUGCCUGCUUGCUAAGCUUCACAAUCCCGAACCCGGAAAUCCUUUCAAUUUCUCAGUAAAACUAUAUUCGAUGGCUUGAAUGUCUUUAGGACUUCAUUAACCAUUUAGAAGCGGAGCCGACGAUGCGAGAGCAGAAGGGGAGCAAGCAUGUGAGGAACUCUGGUUGUGGGAGGAAGAAGCUGGUUCCUUACUAUUUUUAGGUAUACGAUUAUGUGCCCUGAUUGCAUGUUUAUUUAUCUUUGCAAAGCUUUCGUACUUGGAUUUUAAAUGUGUUUGGUUUGUGAAAAAUAAACGAGAAAACUAAUCAUGGGGACAUUCUUAUUCAACUUAAAUGUGUUUUAUUCAUCCGAUUACGCCUGAAA